AUUUAUUAUAAUUCCAUGCAAUGAAAAUCUUCCUCAGAAUAUCAUCAUAUAAUAUAAAAAAAUUUGUAGGACCUAAUCAGAAGGGAAUGGAACUAUUGAAGCAGAGGACUUUACAGAAUCUGAUUCUAAAACACAAGAGAGAUUUGAGACUUCAGCUUUUAACUCUCCUUCAAAAUGUGCAUCUUCUAGCUCUAGUGACACUAAGAACCUAAUGCUUAUCCAAGGAGGUUUGCCUUCGGAAAUUAAAUUGGAAAUACCUCUGACUUACUCAGAAGGGAAUGGAAUAUUGAAGAACAAGACUCUACGGAAUCUCUAUAUGAUUCUAAAAUACAAUCUCCAUAAAAAAAGCAAUUGAGAUUUGACACUCCAAUUACCAAUGAUCCAGAUCAAACACUGACUUUAACCUCUCCUUCAAAAUGUGCAUCAUUUAGCUCUAGUGCCACUUCUUUCUAUGGGAAAUUAAGAAUAACCAAAAUGAAGUCAAGACGGUUUUUUCCGAAUCCCCGCUAUAUUGGAGACUAUUCACACAUUCUCAUUUGGAAAACCCUAUGCUGCGAAAGAAAUACUUUAGGUUGUCUCAAAGAAUCCUGUCCAAUUUCAAGGUCAAAAAUAAAAUAUUGUGUGCGUCCAUCCUGAAGUCAAACAGCACUGAGUCAAAACUACAGUUUAGGAAAAUCUUGGGGUAUCUUUCCAAUGCCUAUCAAUUUGUAGUUGAUAUCUAUACUCAGGCUGAAAAGACUUUAGGUGGACAGAAAGAGUUUUUUAUAUAUUCGAUAAAAAUUAUUCGAACUUGUUAUUCCGUCUGGUUCUCACUACAUUGAACAGUGUAGAUCCAAAAUUGUUCAAUGUUUUCAAUCAGCAUCUGUUUGAUGAUGAACCAGAGAUAAUCCAUGGUCCUGCUAUAACGAAAAUGAUUCUAAAUGAUUCUGGAAACUUAUUUCAAUUUGAGGAUUCACCAAAAUCGACAGAGUGCAAAAUUAGAUUUGAAUCGGU